AGUCCGCCAAGGUUGUUAAGAUAUUUACAUGUGAAACACAUUUUUAUUUUUAAAACAAGUCGUUCCUUGGCAUUGGUCAAGUUACACAUUCACGUGGGGGUUCGAUGUGAAGUGAGCUCUAAUACUACCCCGGGAGUUACCCUCCUCGCCUUUACAACUGGAGUAAUUAUGUAACCGGGUUUACCGUGCCCCUCUAAUAGACAGUCCACGAAAACCCGUCACUGUAGUGAGUAAACCCACCAAUUUUAAUAAAAUUUCGACAGUAUAACGUGGCUUUUAUUUAUUUACCCAGCCUGCAUAGUAAAAACAACUUACAUAAAUUCCCAAUGCAAUUUAUCAAAUAUAGCCACAUAUACUCAUAUUUCAAAAUAUAUAUUUCAAAAUAAUUGGCAGCCUCGAAUUACUCAAUUUCAUAAUCAACAAAAUAUAUUUUUAUUUGUCACAUUUAUUUCUAAAACAUCAAAAAUCCCGUUUUAAUCUCGUUUUCAUUUCAUAAAAUACAUAAAGAGCAUUUAAAAAUAAACUCUAGAUAAUUUACAAUAAUAAUAGGUUUCUCACCGUUCGUACAAAUUAACUGAUUUUUUUAGGUGCCUCGAUCACUGUUCGUCGGGUACGACUUCCUUGCCUUUAUCGGAAGGCUCUCCUCCUAAACACAUUGCAAAAUUUACCCAAUUCACCACAUUGAUGUUAAAUCUCUAUAUAAUUGACUUAAAUCCUAUACUAAUGCAUGGUAUGAAAUGCAAUUGCCUAAAACGGCUUAAACGCAGUAUUAACCUAUUUUUGGCACUUUACCAGUUAAAUUGCUAACGCGCUCCAUUUUAGCUAUAAAUUGUCAUAUUUUCUCCACAACAUUUCUAACCAUUAAAUAUUAACCAAUAACCUUCUAAAAUCACCAAAAUCAGCUCACUUUCCUCCUUGGAAAAUUCGGUCAAAAAUGGAACAUUUACUCGGUUAAUUUUCCACUUUGUUUUUCUAUCACAUUUAACCAUUUUUCAUCAUUUUCUCUUCAUUUCUCUUAGAAUAAAAAUCAGUUCAUCAUCAUUGUACAUCAAUGCAUAUUCAGCCAAGGGUGGGUAUUGUGAAAAUUUCAUGCUUUCUUGCCCAAUUUAAUUUCUAUACACAUUUAACUAACUAAAACUACCAAUUUAACUAAAAAUCAAAACCUAAAAAUUUUAAAAUCUCUCCCCUAGAAUUUCGGCCAACCCUUGGUUUCACUUUUUGAUCUCUCUCCUCAAGCAUGCUUAAUGGAAAUAAAGGCAUAGGAAAGGUAAAAAUCAAGCUAAAAUUGAAAAAUCUUACCGUUAGACUCGUAAACGGAGAAAAAACGCGAUUUCCCCUUUGAAUUUUCUAGUUUUCCUUUGUUUUUCUCUUUUCUUCCUUUCCUCACUAUUUUAUCUCUUGUUCUUUCCUUAUGGCCAGUCAACACUUAAUAUGGGGUUUAAAUGGGCUGACUUUUCAUUAAUAUAAGAUUAAAUCAUUAAAAAGUGCCAUGUGUCACUUUCCCAUUGGCCCGUUUUUAAAAUUUCAUCCAUUUGUUUCCAAAUUUUCACCAUACACUUGUCCCACAUAUCCAUAGCUUAGAUACAAUUCUCAGACUUAUCCAAAGUCUUGGUGGAGUAAUUUUUGAAAUUUACACUUUUACCACCGUAAAAGUAAAAAAUUACAUUUUUGCCCAAAAACUGAAAAAUUGCCCAUAGACAUAUUUUUCAUCCCUUAUACUCAUACCAUUUCCCAAUUUGUCAAAUUUGAUCUAAAUUCUCUCAAAAUCUCAAAUUUUAUCCUCGAGUGGCAAAAUUACGAUUUUAUCCCUAAACAUCAAAAUUUCCAAUUUUACCCCAAAUGAACCCUUGAACUCCGAACAAUCAUUUUUAGUCAUUCUUGGACUAUAAAAUAUUAAAUUUCAUCCUACAAUUCCUAUUUGAACUAGUUCGAGGUUAAAUCAACUCAAGUGUACCGUUAGGUACAAUACCGGGUUCCAUCAUUCUUAGGACUUUCUUAGUGUAAUAACAUGCUACUCAAUGCAUGUAUGUCAUGACAUGUGUUUAUAGGGUCGGGUUUUACACCGUGCCUCUCUAAUAGGUUGGUCCACAAAAUCAGCCCACUGCAGCAAGCUAAACCCACCAUACAAUAAAAAUUCAACAGCAUGAUAUGGCAAUUUUAUCAUUAUCCAGCCUAUCAAGGCGAACAACAGUUUAUACAUUUCAACACAAAUACCAAUUCAGUCAUGCAUGCCAAUAUUGUCAUAAGCCAAUCAAUUAGAACUAUAAAUUCACAAUACAUCAAAUGGUCUCCAAUUACUCUAUUUUCAAAGCCUUCAUUCAAUUUCAAGACCAUUUAUGAAAUCAUUUUAUUUAAACACAUUUUGUUUAUAAAACCUAAAAAUUUACCAUUUAAACUCAUUUUUCAUAAAAUCACAAAAUCGGAUAAAAACCACUAUAGAUAAUUAAGACGAUAGUAAGGUUCACAAUGUCUAGAGUGCGAAUUUUCAAAGUACUUUGACUACUGGUCCUCGGAUGCAAUUUCCUUACCUUAAUCGGAAGACUCACCACCUUGACAUAGUACAAAAUCGAGAAACUUACUACAUUGGUACUAAAUCGAAAUUAAACUAAUUUAGACUACUAAUGCAUGAUAUGGAAUGCAAAAUGCACGAGUAACCAACUAAACCCAUAUUGGCCUAAUUCGUCUUAUCACCCGAUUAAUUGGCCAACGUGUCCAAUUUAGCUCCAAAUUGCUCCAUUUCUUUUCCAAUACCUUAAUUCACCAAACACAAGUCAAAUAACCUAAAAUUUGGCAAAACCAUCUUCACUUUUCUUCUUAGAAUUUUCGGUCAAUAAUGGUGCAUUAACACCGUGAUGUUUCCUACUACUUUUCCACACCAUAAUUCAUCAUUUUCUAACCAAUUCUCUUAAAAUAAAAAAUCAAAUUCAUCCUCACUCAAUACAAGGUAGGUUCGGCCAUUGAUGGGUGCUGGGGAAAAUGAAUUCUUUUUUUAUUGUUUUGCUUCUAGAUAUGGUAUACUAACUAAAAACACUAACAUAACUUGAAAUCAAAUGAAUCCAACAUCAUUCUCUCUUCAUACCCAUUCAGCUAGCCAUGAAUUCACCAUGAAAACAUGAAAUUUAACCAUGAAAAAUAAGGAGAAAUGCUUAAGGAAAAUAGAUUUCAAGUUUAAAUUGAGAAAUCCUACCUUUUUCACUUGUUUUCCUUGAUUUUCCACACUUUUUCUCUUGUAAUUCUCCACCUAGGAUUCUUGUUCUUUCUUUUCUUCCUUUGUUCUUCUUUGGCCGGCCAUAUGAAAGAGAAAUAGGCUGAUUUUGUGCUAAUUUAUAAAGAAAAUAAUGAAUGGAUGAGAUUUUGACACAUGUCACCAUUCCACUAGUCCAUGUGUCAUACUUUGCCAUUAAGCAAUCUCUCUCCACCACUUAAAUUUUCUCAAUUAUCCAUGAUAAUAUUGGGUAAAAUCCAUGUGCUGGACAAGUGUUGGGUGGUGUAAAAUUACAAUUUUGCCCCUAGGGUGGCAAAAUGACUAUUUUACCCCUAUGCUCGAAAAAAUGUCAAAAUUAAAAUUCUUCAUUUCUCAAACUCAUAUUUUACUCCAAAUGAUCAAUCUUGAUCAAAAACUUCUUCCAACAUUCCAAUUUUUAACCUCAGGUGGCAAAAUGACUAUUUUACCCUUGGAUCAUGAAAAUUCCAAUUUAACUCCAAAUCGAUCCUCGAACUCCGAAUCACCAUUUUAAGUCAUUCUGGCAUUUUAAAAUUCUCAAUUUCAUCUUAAAAUCUCUAUUUGGACUAGUUCGAGGCUUGAUUCAACUUAAUUGUACCAUUUGGUACAUUGCCGUCCUUUAACAAGUUUUGAGGUACCCAAAUAAGCAAACAUGCAUUCUUAUGUAGGAAUGGCAUAAUAAACAUAUUGUAGAGUAGGGCUUGAUAGCACUACCCCCUUAAAACAAAAUUUUGACCUAAAAAUUUCAUUUACUAAACUCAGAGAAAAUGUGGGGAUAUUUUUUUCUCAUCCAAUGCUUGACUUCUUAUGUCCUCCCCUUUAUAGGGAAUUUCGAUUUGUUCACCUCAUUUACCUCCAAUUUAACUCGAGUGCUUCACUUAUGUCUAUUAUUAUCCUUUAAAAUAAGAUCAACAGUAACCUUCACAAUUAUGAUCUCUUAUAUUGAGAUACCAAGCAUGCUUCUAUUACUAUCAUUAAACUUAAACCAUAACUCCAUCUCAAUCAUAUCAAUUUCGAUCGCAUUUUAUACUUAUUUAGGUAUACUAAUCAUUAUCUUAUUACUUCAUUCCAUAUCAAAUUUCUCGACUUUCAUUCAUUCAUUUCGUCCUCAUACAAUAUUGUGUAGUUUACAAUAUCAUUAACACACCAUACUCAUUCAUGUACAUAUCCUCAGCAUUGGGGAAGAUUAAUGGCUUCAAUUAUUUUCAUAUACUUCAUGUUUACCUUGCAUUUAGGAAAUUUCAAUCAUCUUAAUCCUAUUAAUCCAUCUCAUAUGGCUUAAUCGCACUAUAGAUUACAUUUCCUUAACUAUUUCCCCAAAAUUCCUUAGGUCGUCAUAAAUUGACUUCUUAUAAGAUUCUUGAUCGUUACAUUAUCUAUACAACUUAUCAAAUAUAUUGAGUUAAGAGCUCGAACCACUAAAACCAUUCUUCAUUUUAGUUGGGUACAUCACUAACUCCACACAUACAUAUACAUGCACAUUCAAAUGUCCGUAUUCCUCAUUAUGUAUAUGGGUCUCUGUUUUCAAAUGCCUUCAGACUAAUUUCUCUUUGUUCAUUCCCAUCCAUAACCAAGAUUCAAUAGAAUAGUCUUCGUAAUUCAUACAAAUUCUCAUCAUGCUUGUGCAUAGUUCCACAUCAUUACAUACUUAUACUCUCUUCUUAUCAUUUCCAAUUAUAUGCUUAAGUUUCCUUGUACUAUAUAUCAUUGCAUCACAAUGUCAUCUCCAUUGAAUUAUAAUCUAUUAUACGUGUAUGCUUUAUAAUCCCAUUGAUACUUCAAAAAAAUUUUCUUAACUCGAUCAUUGCAUCUUAUGCAAUACCACAAUUCCUAAGAGUCAUCCUUAUUCCUCGAUUAUCCUUCAUGCCUCUAUAUUACCUUGUAUCCUUCUUGCAUUCUGAUAUUGAUUUGUCACUUAAAACUCAAACUCAUCUGAAUCAUGUAUGCCUCAAGCAUUUUUUAAUUCCAAUUUUCAUAAUAUAUUAGGAAAGUUUCAUUAUCUGACUUCAUUAUCAAGGUCAACUUCAAUCAUCCUUUGUUCCACUCUUUCAUAUGAACAUAACAUCAUUCUCCCUUAACCAAUUUACAAAUUGUACUUGAAAUUGCAAGACUUGAAACUAGAUUCUCUUUAAGUACCUUUCAAUAUUAAUACUAAUAUCACUCUUAGCUUACAGCUUCCUUUUUAUAACCACAUAACUUAGUGCUUGCUUUCAAGAGAUCCAUGGCAGAACUUCUCUUGAAUAUUUCCUUGGGGAUAUCUAUCUUAAACUUAUGUCUCACAACAUGUGAUCACUUAACCUGUAACUUAGCCAUUUAUGUGGCAUCCCUUUCGGGGUCCACUCCGAGGUAUUGUUACGUCUGGGUCCCCAUCACUUGACUUACUCGCAUACGCCGCACCUAAAGGCGGCACGACAGGCCCUACAGGACCUUAUCGCCAAGUUUCGAAUCCCCAAACCUUUUGCUUCCCCUCGAAGGGAACGCCUUUAACCAUUCAGCUUUAACUCAUUCAUAUCAAUACCUUCCAAAACCUUAAAACUCCAGUUAAUAAAACUUAGAAGUAAGUUCAAUGAUUUUAGGUCAACUCAUAAGUUCAACUUCACAUCUGUCUCAUUUUAUUCAUGCGUCCUAGACAUAAAGUGUUCUUAGCAUCGCGGCACGGUGGCUGUUGGAGUUUACUUAAUCAAUGUUAUUCAUCUAUAUUUAAAGUUACUACACUAGUCAUUCUCAACCGUUUGGUUUCCUUCCAAGCUUACGUCAUAAUUUUCAUAACCAUUUAUAUCCUCUUAUGUUUAUCACAUAUAAUAGGUAAAGUUGAUAUUUUCAAAUUCAUCUCAUCCUAUAACACUAGUCAACAAUUAAUAAAUCCCACUUUAGAAUACUCUUUCUAUAUUGUAUAGUAACUUCACCAUAUAGUAUCAUGGCACUAUGUUCCUCCAUCUACUAUCAUGCAUAUUCCACAUAAAUUAAUUAAAAGAUUUACGUACCUUAACUAAUGCUAAUUCCAUUUAAUCAUAUCUUAAAUACUCCAAACUUGUAAAUUACAACUCCAAGUGUAUGUCCAUAGAUUGAUAAUCUUUAUAUAUUUCAUGAUCAUGAAAACUACAACUUACAAACUAGCUUUCUAUCAUAUGCACACUAUUAAAACAUUAAUUUCAACAUGUUUAAUUCUCCUUUAAUGGUAUGUUAAAAUCAUUCCUGGAUACAUUUCCAUAUUAACAUUGAUAUGCCUUUACCAUAGUAUUUAGUGCAAAUUUUGAUGAAGGAAUUGUCUCCAAAUAACUCUUAAAUACAUAAUUAUCAAAUUAUAUACCACUAAAUGUUAAGAUCUUGACUUUAUUCAUCAAUAACCAAUCACAUUUAUUAAGUGAAUAAUUUACUUAGUUAUUACACCUUGCCUUUUCGAUCAUAAGAUCAAAGUUGUCUUCAACUUAGGAUGCAGAAGUUCUCUCUUUUAGAGUAUAUCCAAACAUCAACAUUUUCUAAAUUCCUUACUCUGGGGAGAUCACCUUCAAGACUAAUCAUUCGUAUCAUAGGCCACACUUUGAACCGAAUAAACUUUUAAAUUGAUCUUUCAAGUAAUUUGUAUAUCAGUCUCAAUUAUAGAACUUCAUAUGUCACUUAAACUAGAUUCGACAUUUUCAAGUCAUUUAACCUCAACCUGCCAAUUCCACAUCUAGUCCUUUAAUCCCUUGGAUCGCCCUUUUUUUAUGCAUAGCAAAGUUCAAACUCAUCCUAAGAGCAGAUUUGUUUACUAAUUUCUUACUUCAUGACCACACAUCAAUUAUAGUAAUCAUUGAUACUCACUCUCGAGUUAAUUCACGUGCUUAUAUCCAUGAACUAUAAUAGGUCCAAUUAAUUCUUGAAAUCUCACGAUCGCUUAAUUGAAAUCAACACUUGUUCCCUCUAAGCUGUUGUACCAAUUCAACACAUAUUCACAUAUAAAAUAUUUCAAAAUCCCAACACCACUUUUAUAUGGGCAUAACAAGCUCAAUUAACAUAGUGUUCUUAUCUUCAUGCACAUAAGUAUGGGUUUACUCUUACCUCAAUACUUAAUUUAUACACUCCAAGUGAAUUACAACCAUCACUAUUCAUUCUAAUCAUAGUGCACCCCUUAUUACCAUUAUCACACGUGCUCUUUUAUAUUAACCCCAAUACAAUCCAUAGUCCCCAAAUCUUUUUCCAAUUGACAACCAUGAGUUUAAUUAUAACUCCACCAAAUGAAUGAAUUAUCAUGGCCUAUUAGUCCAACUCCAAAUUUCUCCAUCCUUAAUCAGAGGGAUAUAUCAUUUCAUUAAUCUUUCACUAAAAGCAUUCAUUUUAAGAUCUCUCUAACACUGGCUCAUGUCACGGGUGGCAUCUUAAACCCAAACAACGGCCCUACUUAUGACCUUUGCAUGACAUUAACAAAGAAGUGGAUUACUGGGAAUAGGAGUUCAUAUAGCUCCUUGUCUAUGACUUAUGCUCCCAUAAGUUCUAGAAGAAGAAACAUAACGAGUCUAAACAACUUCAAAUUCUAUAUGCAGUGCCACACUGACACUAUAGUUUUUAAAAUAACUUUAACACAACUUUAAACCAAAAGCUCUAAUCUUUAAAACCAAAAGCUCUGAUACUAACCGAAUUGUCACGACCUAGAACUCCCAUCAGGCCCGUGACAACCAUAGCGACGUCCCAAUAGACAUUCUUUACUCGGAAUGUCAAUCGAAACCUUGCAAGGCUUAACAUCAGUUUUUCCUGCUUCCCCUAUGAGUAUUAGUCACUAAAAUUAUGUUUUGAGAGAUUAUAAACAUUUUCCAAAUCAAAACAAUAGAAAAACAAUUUUUUUCUCACAGGGGCAUUUUGGUCAUUUUUCCUCAAAAAUCUCGAAAUCCGCUAAAAAUGUAGUAUGCGAGUACAAAACUCAUAAUUCAUAAUCAAAAAUAAGUUUAAGCAUCUAAAACCUUUAUUUAAAAUGAAAUUAUGAUUAUUUGGAUAUAAUAAAAAUAUUUAAUAAAAUAUUCUAUUUUCUUAUAAAACAAUAUUUAUAAAGUUACAAGUAAAUAAUUUUUGUAGCGUAAAAGCUAAAUAAAUUCAUACAUACUAUAAUUUAGAUAACCAAAGUAUAACAUUUAAUUUAUAGUGACACGUAGGCGCACGAACGACCAAAAGUAUCAAAAGAGGUAAACCUACAGUUUUUUAGGAUGCAAGUCCGACUGUAGCCCUCAGCGAAAUGAGCUAUCUACCGACUAUCCUGAGCCUGAAAUGGGUGGAAAGAAGGGUGGUGAGAUUAUAUAAUCCCAGUGAGUAAACAGAUACCAUCAAAAAUAUCUAAAACUGAGUAAAUGGAGACAGAUAGAAUAAUUUAACAUACUAUAAUUCAUCACCUUUCAACUUGUUUCAAACAAAUAAAAUCAAUUCAUAUAAAUCGAGUAAUCAACAUGGCUUAUAAAUUUCUUAAAACUUUGGCUCGUGCCAAAACCAUUCUCAUACCUAGUUAUCAGGGAUGCCUUGAUCAAGGGCUAUCCCAACCGAGUCUGCCAAGGUUGUUAAAAAGUUAUAUACACAUAAAUCAUGUUUUUAUUUUGAAAACAUAGCCGUUCCUUGGCGUUGGUCGAGUUCCCCUCACGUGGUGGUUGGGCGUGAAGUGAACUUUAAAGUUUGACCUCGGGAGUUACCCUACGCACCUUUCCAAUCGAGGUAUAUAUAUAUGACCAGGUUCCGUGACCCUUUAAUAGGUUGGUCCACAGAACCAGCCCACUGCAGCAAGCUAAACCCACCAUACAAUAAAAAUUCAACAGCAUGAUAUGACAAUUUUAUCAUUAUCCAGCCUAUCAAGGCAAACAACAGUUUAUGCAUUUCAACACAAAUACCAAUUCAACCAUUCAUGCCAAUAUUGUCAUAAGCCAAUCAAUUAGAACCAUAAAUUCACAAUACAUCAAAUGGUCUCCAAUUACUCUAUUUUCAAAGCCUUCAUUCAAUUUCAAGACCAUUUAUGAAAUCAUUUUAUUUAAACACAUUUUGUUUAUAAAACCUAAAAAUUUACCAUUUAAACUCAUUUUUCAUAAAAUCACAAAAUUGGAUAAAAACCACUCUAGAUAAUUAAGAUGAUAGUAAGGUUACUCACAAUGUCUAGAGUGUGAAUUUUCAAAGUACUCUGACUACUGGUCCUCGGAUGCAAUUUCCUUGCCUUUAUCGGAGGACUCGCCACCUUGACAUAGUACAAAAUUGAGAAACUUACUACAUUGGUACUAAAUCGAAAUUAAACUAAUUUAGACUAUUAAUGCAUGAUAAGGAAUGCAAAAUGCACGGGUAACCAUCUAAACCCGAUAUUGACCUAAUUCAUCUUAUCACACCGAUUAAUUGGCCAAUACGUCCAAUUUAGCUCCAAAUUGCUCCAUUUCUUUUCCAAUACCUUAAUUCACCAAACACAAAUCAAAUAACCUAAAAUUUGGCAAAACCAAAAUUCACUUUUUUUCUUAGCAUUUUUGGUUAAUAAUGGUGCAUUAACACUGUGAUUUUUCCUACUACUUUUCCACACCAUAAUUCAUCAUUUUCUAACCAAUUCUCUUAAAAUAAAAAAUCAAAUUCAUCCUCACUCAAUACAAGGUCGGUUCGGCCAUUGAUGGGUGAUGGGGAAAAUGAAUUCCUUUCUUGUUGUUUUGCUUCUAGACAUUAUAAACUAACUAAAAACACUAACAUAACUUGAAAUCAAAUCAAUCCAAUAUCAUUCUCUCUCCAUACCCAUUCAGCUAGCCAUGAAUUCGCCAUUAAAACAUGAAAUUUAACCAUGGAAAAUAAGGAGAAAUGCUUAAGGAAAAUAGAUUUCAAGUUUAAAUUGCGAAAUCCUACCUUUUUCACUAGUUUUCCUUGAUUUUCCACACUUUUUCUCUUGAAAUUCUCCACCUAGGGUUCAUGUUCUUUCUUUUCUUCCUUUGUUCUUCUUUGGCCCACCAUAUGAAUGAGAAAUAGGCUGAUUUUGUGCGAAUUUAUAAGGAAAAUAAUGAAUGGAUGAGAUUUUUGACACAUGUCACCAUUCCAUUGGUCCAUGUGUCAUACUUAGCCAUUAAGCAAUCUCUCUCCACCACUUAAAUUUUCUCAAUUAUCCAUGAUAAUAUUGGGUAAAAUUCAUGUGCUGGACAAGUUUUGGGUAGUGUAAAAUUAUAAUUUUUCCCUUGGGGCUUCAAAAUGACUAUUUUACCCCUAUGCUCAAAAAAAUGUCGGAAUUAAAAUUCUUCACUUCUCAAACUCAUAUUAUACUCCCAAUGAUCAAUCUUGAUCAAAAGCUUCUUCCAACAUUCAAAUUUUUAACCUCGGAUGGCAAAAUGACUAUUUUACUCCUAGAUCAUGAAAGUUCCAAUUUGACUCCAAAUCAGUCCUCGAACUCCGAAUCACCAUUUUAAGUCAUUCUGGGGUUUUAAAAUUCUCAAUUUCAUCUUAAAAUCUCUAUUUGGACUAGUUCGAGGCUUAAUUCAACUUAAUUGUACCAUUUGGUACAUUGUCGUCCUUUAACAAUUUUUGAGGUACCCAAAUAAGCAAACAUGCAUUCUUAUGUAGGAAUGGCAUAAUAAACAUAUUGUAGAGUCGAGCUUGACAUUAUUAGUCACCAUAUCAAAGUAUGGAGUAUUACAAACUACUUAACAAAUCUUUUAUAAUAUCCGACCAACCUUAGAAAGCUUUGUAUCGCAAUCACUAGGGUAGGCCUUGGCCAUUUCUCUAUAGCCUCAAUCUUUUUCAGGUCCACCAUCACACCUUCCUUAGAUACUAUGUAGGCUAAGAAGCUAACACUAUCAAGCUAAAACUCACAAUUGGAGAACUUGGCAUAUAACUCGUGCUCUCUCAAAGUCUGAAGCACUAUCCUCAAAUGCUAUUCAUGCUCAUCUCUACUCCUCAAGUAUACUAAUCUAUCAUCAAUAAAUACCACCACAAACUUAUCCAAGUAUGGCUUGAACACUCAGUUCAUCAUGUCCAUAAAAGCAGUUGGGGUAUUCGUAAGUUCAAAUGACAUCACCGAGAACUCGUAACGCCCAUACCUAGUAUAGAAGGUAGUCUUAGGCACAUCAUUUUGCCUAAUCCUUAACUGAUGGUAGCUUAACCUCAAGUCAAUCUUAGAAAAACAUUGGGCUCCCUGAAGCUAAUCAAACAAAUCAUCAAUGCAUGGUAAGAGAUACUUAUUCUUCUGAUAAAUUUUUUAUAUAGAGUUAUUUUAAUACAUUUUGGGAGCUUAAAUAGUUAGAUCUUUGAGAUUUUAAGUUUAGAUCGUAGCAAUUUAGGUGUUUUUCUAGUUUAAGUUUGAUUACAUGUUGAGUAGUUAAUUUAAGUUAUUUUAGUUAAAUUUUAUGUUAUUUUGUUUUAAAUUAUUCUAAGAGUAGUUAUUGCUAAUUUCUCUUAUUGCUUUUGUCACGACCCGAAACUCUCCUCGAGCCGGUGACAACCGUCGCGAUAUCCCGAUCGACACUCAUUAUCCAAAAUGUCAAUCGGAACCCCGCAAGGCUUUAAUAUCAGUUUCUCAUUUCCCUUGUGAGUAACCGUUGUCAAAUAUCAUGUUCUAAAAGAUUUUAAACUAAUUAUAACUUAAAACAAUAAAAAAAUAAUUUUCGUCUCACAAGGGUAUUUUAGUCAUUUUCCUCUAAAAAUUUCGAAACCAGCUAAUAAUGUAGUAUACGGGUGCAAAACACAUAUUUUAUAAUCAAAAAUAAAUUUGGAUAUCUAAAACAUUCGUUUAAAAUAAAAUUAUGACUAUUAUAAUAAAAUAAAAAUAUUAAAUAAAAUAUUCAAUUUUCUCAAAAAAUAAUAUUUUUAGAACACUGCAUAAAUAAUUUUUACAACGUAAAAGAAAAAUAUAUCAUAUAUAUCAUAACACAGUAAGCCAGAGUAUUUAAUUUAAUUUAUAGUAACAAGUGGGCCCCUGAAUAACAAAAGUAAGGAAGACUGUGAACCUACAGUUUGGAGGAUGCAAAUCCAAUGGUGGUCCUCGAUGAAAUCAGUUAUCUAUAGACUAUCUUGAGCUUGAAAUGGGUGGAAAGGAGGGUGGUGAGAUUAUAUAAUCUCAGUGAGUAAACAAAUACCAUCUAAAAUAUCUAAAGCCGAGUAAAUGGAGACUGAUAAAAUAGUUUAACAAAUUGUAAUUCAUCACUUUUCAACUUGUUUCAACCAAAUAAAAUCAAUCCUUAUAAAUCGAGUAAUCAACAUGGCUUAUGAAUUUCUUAAAAGUUUUGGCUCAUGUCAAAAUUAUUCUCAUACCCAGUUAUCAAGGAUGCCUUGAUCGAGGGCUAUCCCAACCGAGUCCUCCAAGGUUGUUAAAAAGUUAUGUACGCAUAAAUCAUGUUUUUAUUUUGAAAACAUAGACGUUCCUUGGUGUUGGCUAAGUUCACCCUCACGUGGUGGUUUGGCAUGAAGUGAACUCUAAAGUUAUACCUCGGGAGUUACCCUACUCGCCUUUCCAACAGAGGUAAAAUAUAACCGGAUUUCGUGCCCCUCUAAUAGGCUGGUCCAUAGAAC
rnacentral:lncRNA from 1 species